rnacentral:rRNA from 1 species
UACGAAGGGGGCUAGCGUUGCUCGGAAUUACUGGGCGUAAAGCGCACGUAGGCGGAUUGUUAAGUCGGGGGUGAAAUCCUGGAGCUCAACUCCAGAACUGCCUUCGAUACUGGCGAUCUCGAGUUCGGGAGAGGUGAGUGGAACUGCGAGUGUAGAGGUGAAAUUCGUAGAUAUUCGCAAGAACACCAGUGGCGAAGGCGGGUUGCUGGGCUGACACUGACGCUGAUGCGCGAAAGCCAGGGGAGCGAACGGG